GCGAUAAUAGCUCAGUUGGGAGAGCGUCAGACUGAAGAUCCUGAUCAAGGACUGCGGUAUAUCUGAAGGUCACCCGUUCAAUCCGGGUUUGUCGCA